UGUGUGUGUGUGAGAGAGAGAGAGAGAGAGGUAUAUGUGUGAGAGAGAGAGAGAGAGAUAGAGGGAGAUGUCUGUGUGUGAGAGAGAGAGAAAGAAAGAGAAGAGAAUCACUGUUGAAAGAGAAGUGUCUGAUAUGUGUGUGUUAUUACGUGUGUAAUAUUAUGUGUGAAACAGGCACAUUUUGAGGUUAGAGAAAGAGUAGUCAGAGUAUUCAGAUUAUAAUCAACUAUAUUCAGAUAAUUAUUAUUAUUCACUGAUUUUUCUAACUUCUGCGGAGGCCCUAAUUUGCUGAUGGCCGUUGACCAUGUGUUUAGAUCCUGAUUGGCUGAUGGCCGUUGACCAUGUGUUUAGGUCCUGAUUGGCUGGUGGCCGUUGACCAUGUGUUUAGGUCCCACAGCUUCAGUCUGCCUUUUGACCUCGGGUAUCUGCACAGCUCAGUUCCUCCAAUCAUUUACAUUGGAACUUUGGUAAAAUCAUACCUCUUCUAAUAGAGUUUAAU
ensembl:lncRNA